UGCUGGUUUUGCAGUUUUCACAAAAAAUAUCUAUAAGCUUCUGUGACAAAAGUUUGUGGCAAUGGUACAGCAGUAAUGGCAACUUCUUUUCUGGGAGAACAGAGCUCUUAAAGCUUCUCUUUCAUCCACAGUUCUGAAUUUAGGUGGGAUAUAUGGGCACAACUUAUUUUGUGGUAAAGAAGAUGUAGUCAUGUAACUCACCUAGAAAAGUCCUCCUAGCAUACAAAUUAUAGUAUGCAAAAGAAAGUAUUUUUGACAGUAUUUGGUUUUAAUAGUUAGGCAGUAUGUUUCUGCAGCUAAAAUGAAAAUACAGUUAUCUCCUUGGGUUUCCGUUCAUCUUGUGAGGUGAAAGAGUCAUGUAUGCUUUACAGAAAGUGUAGGUUAGAAAAAGGCAUGUCCUAGAAUAAUUUCUUACGAACAUCCUAAUUAAAUCAGGAAGAAUGACUGUGUGCCUAGUUUAAUUGUUACAGUAUUUAUUUUGAAAACAGUCUGUGCCAAUAUUUUUAUCUAGCACUAUGGAAACAACCUUCGAAAUAUAACUAUGUAUCUUGAAAGUACCUCUAGAAAUUCCAAUGAAUAGCUUUUGCAUAUGUGUUCUUUAGAAACCUGUGGGUGGACAUGGUCAUUGGCACAUCACUGGAAUUACAAGAUAGAUAUAUUAACAUAUGUUAAGUUUCUUUAAGUAGAGACAGCAUUGCCUAAAUGAAUCAAACCUUUUGGAUCAUAGAUGCUCACAUCUGGGCUAGGGAGAGAAAAUGCUUUCUGGAAUUUAUGGAUCUUUCCAAACAGAUCUUAUCAGUGUCUCAAGUCACCUUUUAAAGGGCACCUAAAACCUCAAUGCAUCCUUCCUAAAGCUUCACUUGUUUUGGAGCAGUGUGUCCUACACACUUGUUCAAAAUCCUCCUUUACACCUGUGACACUUUUUAUCUGAAUUCUCUGCCUGCAUCACUAAUUUUUAAUAUCUUUCUCUUUUUUUCCUAACACAUCUUUUUCUUCCUAAAAAUACCAUGAAGCUCUGUGUCUAGGCUAAAGCUUUGUAAAUGGACUCACGACCAUCUUCCUUUUCCUGAUCUUUCUGGAUCCUGUUCCCCAUUGAGGGCUAGAAUCACCAGCAUCUUAAGCUGAUGGAAAUGACUUCUUCCUUCUCACUCAAAUCUUCUAUUCUUCCUCAAAUUUCUUAUCACAUUAUCAUCCCUGAUGUCACCUGGCUUCAUAAAUUGGGAAUCACAUUCAUCUUCAGCAAAUGCAAAGGACCACCUGAGUGAAGCAGGGUACUUAAAUAUCAAACUUGGCAUAGAGCAGAGUGUAUAUUUCUAAGUUUUUGAGUUUAAAACUGAGAGGCUGAGCUGGGAAUCUUAUGACAAGAGAUUGCUUUCCCAGGUGGGUUUGUUUGCUGUUGGUCCCAGAACCACAGCUGAAUCAAACUAUGCUCCAUGUAUCCCACAAUCACUGAUUUUCUCCUUAACAGCAGACAACACCCAAAUAAUUUAUCAGCAUUAGUCUAGAAUGAAAUGCCUUAAUGCACAGCCUGGAUAUGAUGCCAUCAUUUUGAGGAAGCUGAUGCUAUUUACCACUGUCAGCAGCAGUACAGGCAUUGGACCAUUUCAAACUACAUCAGCAUUUUUAGACUCUCCCAAAGAAAGAAUCUUUCAUUACUGCAUUAUUUUUAUUAAUAUGCCUUUGAAGUUGUUUUUAUAGUAGUAGCUGGCCACAGGAUUACCUGACAACAGCACAGCAAGAGUAAAUUCUGCUGAAGGGCAAAUAUAUUUUAUAGUUAUUUUUGUUUUAAUUAACUAUGCAGAAUGACAAACAAAUAGAAUGUUUUGUAAAAUAAAGACUUAGCAGCUACUUUUUCGAUAAUCUUGUGAGUAAUUCUCUGAUUUGCAAAUUAUUAUCUUUUCCUUCUUAGCCUCAGGCCUGAAAAGCGAUUGAACAUUUGUGAAAACAAUUGUCUACCCUUAUUACAGGAUUAUCAAAUUAUACUUUUUAAAUUUUGUAUUAGAGGGGUUUUUUUUUACAAUGUUAAUAAUUUUAAAGGAUUUCAGAAAAUAAAUUAAGUAAUUAACCUGAUCAGGCAGUGGGUAUACACAGAGCUAUCCAAAUUAGCUAUUUUUUAAUUAUGCUUCUUUACUUCUUAAAGCCAAACUUCGGAGUGAUUUUGAAGUCUUCCUUAUGCUCCUCUCCACGAUUCAGCAAGACCCACUGUUAUCGGCAGAGGCUCCCAUUACACGCUCUGUGACUCUGCCGAGACUUAUCACUUCUGCAUGGAGCUGCUGUGACAAACUGAGCUGCUUUCGUGAGCCGAGUGGGGUCUUAGGGGUACCAGAGUGGGGGGCCGGGACCCCCUUCCUAAUCUCAACUCUGUGACUGACUAGCCAUGUGACUUUGGACGAGAUACUCCUGUAUCUCUGUUUCCCCUUUUCCCCUUUGCCUGUCUCAAUUAUUUAGACUAUAAGAUGUAUGCGACAAGAAGCGUUUGCAGCUAUGGCACGGUGCAGCCCAGCACAUGCCCUGGUCUCAGCUGAGUCCUGGACGUAUUGCUAUUAUGCAGACAAAAUGCAGUCUUUUCAACAUCCAGGAAAAUAGCUAAUUAGUAGCACAUUUUAUAGCUAGAAGUAAAAAAAAAAACACCUGUAUUUGUGACAGUUUCUCUGCUGGGCUGAAAUCAUUACCGAGCAGGGCAUAAGUGCUGUGAGGGUUUUACAGGUAUAACCUGACAGCAGCAACUUCACUCACCUUCAGUCUCCCACUCUCUUUGUGUGAGAAGGCAGGAUUCUAAACAUUCUCCCUUGCUCAGAUUGUGUGUCCAGAUUUCCAGUGAGAUUUUACUUGAUAAGUACCAAAGCAAAUAUUUGGCAGGACAGGUGUGACAAUGCUACCAAGGAAAUAAAAGCCAGAAUAAAAUACUGUAAUUCCUCUUCAUAAACUUGUUUUUAUUACUACCAUGAGAAGUACUGUCUCCUUACACUCAGUAAGUCAUUUUGCAGAAUAAGAUUAUGCCAGUUUUGUACCAUCAUGCAUCAAAAUGAAGGUUUAUUUAAUGGCUUUGACCCUAAUUUGCAAAUCCCCUUUGUUCUCCAGCCUGUAAGGCUAGCUUCAUGGUAGUGGUGCUGUGCUCAUAAAAUCUUCACAGUCAGAUGGGAAAAGGAGGCUGAAUUAUGAUUCUUCAAAAUUAAAAUACUGGUCUGUUGAUUAUUCUAUAUGUUGUAUUGUUGUAUUGAUUGUUCUAUAAAUAGCUUGACUACGGUGCACUGCACGGGGGAUUGAGAAGCAUCAAAAAUAGGAACAGGCGGUGAACUGCCUUGACCCAAACUUGACAGUUUAUUUGCUGCAAUAUAUAUCCAGUAUGUGAUGCAACACAUACACAGUGUCAGGUGGCAUAUCUUUUCUGAGGGGCUGCUAAGAGACAGGAAUUAACAGGAAAUGAUUAAAUUAUUUCCUUGGAAGGUAAUUUCACUAUUUUUGCUAUGAACUUUUUGUUUGUAUGAGGCAUUCUUUGCUCCCUUAUAGUUAAGCUGAAAGCUGGUUCUUAAAGUCUUUGCUGCAUACGUUGAAAAAAUUCUUGGUAAAUGACAUGCAUUUUGCUUUAGGAAUUACAGUAUACAGCUGAAAACACCCAUACAUUUGUACAUACAUCAGUAAGAAGUCUGCACACAACAUCAUGUAUUUCCGCAUGUAGUACUUGGCACCCUUGAAAGAACUUCUCCUUAAAGUCUUUUCCUGUAUUCCCUUAUCUAUAUAACAUGUCUUGUUUUAAAACAGGCCAAAAGUGAUAAUAUUAAAAAGUGCAGCCAGUCAGAGCAAUCUAGAGACUGCAACAGAAACCUGUUUUUACAGAAAAUAAAAGUUCAGCUUUGAUAAAUGUGAGCAAGAAAUGGUUUGCACUCUCCGUACAGAAGUUGUUUUUAGUAGCCAUUUUAGGUGUAACAUUAGUACAUCUCGCCCUAAUGACAAUGUUAGUUGCUUGGUUUGUACAACAAGUCCUAGAUGGAAUUAUAAAAAGAGAAGUUGAAAAAAUCCCUGGGGUAAUGAGAGUGCAUCAAUAAACCUCUUAUCAUAGGGAAGCAUAACUAGGGGAAAAAAUGUAACAUUUGAAGAUACUGUCUGGACAGAAAACAAAAUCCUUAGGCUGUCAGAGAGGAAUCUGAGGCUGCCAGCAAGCCAAGGUUGUGGUGAAAGCCCUGCAGUUUGUUCUGUGGAUCUGGUGUGCUUAUCAGCAACAUAAAACAAAAAUCUCAAAAAUGCCAAGCUAUCACAGGAGCCUUCCCAAGAGGCCACUCAUGUCUGUCUGCUGGGAAGUGGCAGUGGUGAUGGGUUCUUGCUACGUGAAUCUCUGUUCAUGAGGACAAAACGUGAGACUAAUUCACUUGAUGUAGCUUGGGAGCACCAGGAUAAAAAGCAUUGGUAUAACUUUACACCUCAGACAAAUGUGAAUUAGACUCACAGAGAAAAUUCUCACCAUCAUACUCUUCCGUGCCAAGUCAGAAGUUUCACUUUUACAUGAACAGUGGCAGAUUUUAUAAAAAAAUAGCAAAUACAAUUACAGUGAAGAGUGUUCCUUCUGUUAAUUAGAUGAGGAGGUAUUUGACUACUUACAAUCGCUUGACUUAGUGUGAGUUCACCUGCUACUUGGAGUGAUUCGAUCUGCCAUAAGAGCCAGCAUAAAAAUAAGGAAAACUGUGGGAGAUCACCAUAUAACCAUGUCAUUGCCAUUGGAUUUCUCUUUUAAGUUUUUAUCACCUGUGAACUUUUCACGUCUGAAAAGAUCUAAUGCUAUAAGACUACUGGUUAAGCAAUUCAUAUGUGAAACAGCUGUAGGCUUUCUUUAUGCUGCCAAUACUAAUGAAGUGCAUUUAUUGAGUACUUCUUAUUUUCCAGUGAAAACAUUCAUCUGUGGUUCCUCCAGAACACAACUAUAAGGUGUAUGUUAGAUCUUUGUAAGCUAAGAAUUGAUCUGAACACAGCCCUAACAGCAUGAUUUUUAAUCAGUGAAAUUAAAUUGGUGCAGUUCAGAGCCAGUGAAGGUAAACUGGUAUAACCUGAGUCAGUGCCAAUGAACCUAUGUCCGAAACAAGACAGAUUUAUUUAAAUAAAUCAGUUAGUGUAUGUUAGCAUCACGUACCCCUAGAUAGUGUCUUGUCAGCUUUGUUAGUUGCAGCAACAGGACAAGAAAUUGGUCUAAAAUGUCUAACAUUCACCAAGUAUGCAUGUAUUUAAAAAUGGGUGAAGUGUUUAUCUUAAUGCUGCAUAUUAUUCCUCUUUAAAACACAUCGCAUUGCAACAGAAGUAGUACACAUGUAAAAUAGACAAAAAACUGGUAAGUAAUUUCAGAAGUGACUAUUGAUAGGAAAGGAUCAUCAGGUGGGGCUGUUGUAGAGUGCGAUGGGGAUUAGUACAAGUCCUGCCAUCGCUCAAUAAUUUCAUGAGCAGGGUGGAAAUAAAUACAGUGACUAAAAGGUAGUGAGUAACUAACAAUAAGGAUGGAGCAGUUGUAUAAAGGAGUUUAACUUGAGUGUGUUAGUCUUGUUUCAAUAAAACGCCUUAAUAUAAUAAAAGUAAACUGGUGUGUUUCAACAUGCAUGUCCAGUAUAUAAUAGAUUUUGUAGUGCUUAAAGUCCUGAAGGAUGGAUGCUUUUCUAUAAGUUGUCUUUCUGUCAAACACUCAUUAUGUGUAUUCUAUACACAUUAUAUAGGUAGUAAAUAAGAUUCAAAUCUAUUAGAAAAGUCCUUCCUGGUGUUGUUUUUUAGGAAUCCAUUUGUAACCAGUGAAAAUUCUGCACGUUGACCAGACCUGAUAAAAGCAGUUGUUCAUGUCACCUGAGCAUUUAGUCCUGGUGCUGCUGCAUGAGGCUUUUUCUGUGUGACAGUGUUAAGCAUCAACAUGAAUUAGGGUCCCAGCUCUGCUGGAGCACUGAGAUACACAGAAGUGUUAUUGGGGAGAAUCACAGCAUUUUUUGGCCACAGACCAUUAAGGAAAUCUAUAUGCUUCUUCCAGGUUAACAGCUUUGCCUGUAGGGCAAUUUUCUGCCUCGGAGCUACAUUGAUGCAGUUCCUAGUGUGGAUGUAGAUACGUUGGGUGCUUUUAUAUUGAAGCAGUCUUUCCCAUUUCCUAUCUGGGAAUAAACUAAACCAGCUUAAGCCUUCAAACGAGCAAAACUGCAUCCAAAUGCGAAUGGGGUUACAGCACUUAAAGGAUUCCAGUGCAGCUGUUGCCAUGCUUUCAUUUUUGCAAGGUUCACACUUCUUACACUGCUGAAAAUAGAUGUCUUGAACUUUCAGUUCAGAAAGUGGAAAGAUGACCUAGGAACCAUUUUAACUCUCCUUGGCUGUCUGAUACAAUGUGCAGUAAUGCUGAAGCUAGACUAUGUAAUCUAUUAUUCAGUAUUUAAAUAUGUGAAGCAGAGAGAACACAGCUAAUAAAUUUGUCAUUCUUUAAAACACUUUUUAAAUUUUUUUUCUUUUUUUCCCCAGGGUGGAGAUACACACAGAAACAUUUGAAAACUUUGACAGAAAUACUUUUACUUUCACAUUUGUGCAUUUCAGCUCAUGAACUUGUUCUAGGUACAUUUUGAAAUCUUUAUACCCUGUGUUAAGCACCAAUUAGAAACUGAAAGUGAAGAAUAGUAAAGAUUUUUUUUCCACAUAUUUCUUAUGAUUAAUAUAAAAAGUAUGUGUGACAGAAAAGGAUUACAGACCAAUAGCACCACUUCCCCUGUAAUCUUUAUCCCUUUCCUGACUAAGUGCUAUCUGCUAAUACAAAUCCCCAAGAUCCUGACCUCUCUUUUUUGCUUUCCUUCCCUGCAAGCACAGUAGAGGAAAUGAUUCCUGUCACGUAGCCAAAGGGGGCAUAUUUACAUGGCUCCACAUGAUGUGAUGAGGAAAUCCUGUUGCAGAGAAUUCAGCAGGAAAACAAGUAGGUUGCCUGUUCUCCUGUUUUUUGGAAGUCCUGCCUCUGCUCCUCUACAGAUUUGCUUCCUGAAUCACCACUUCUGUGAGUUUAUCAGUACAGAUCUCUUUGUUUUACAAUUUUCUUUCUCCGUUUUUGAAAGUGGAGAUUUCCAGGACAUUAUUCUCCUUCCUGAUAUCUUGCCAUAUAUUAAGAGAUUAAGUUGUUAUCUGCUGUGGAUUUUUUUGCUUUGCAGAUUUUGCUUGUAGUACUCAUUUUUUUUUUGUUCCUCCACUGAUCAUCUUUAAGCUUUGCACCAAAGCAAUGAAUAACUGUAAGUGCUUUAAUUCUGUUCUCUUCUGGGCUGGGGGAAAAAAUCCUCCUCUAUGGACAAGAGGGUAUUAUCAUUUCAAAUCCUAAAGCAUUCUAAGAGGUUUUGUUGUAGCACAGAGGAAAAUGAACAAAGAAGGGUUUAACAUUUAUUUUUAAAUGCAUUUAUUACAUAUAUAAUACUGCAGCUAAUAUAUCCCUUCCCUACCAGCACGGAGAUCUGUAAUCAGAAGCAUUGGUGAAACACAUCAAUUGACUAGAAAGGAAACCUUUAGCAAAUAUAGGACCCUGUGUAAAAUCAACAUGAAACUUAUGCAAAAAGGCAUUUUUAUUAAAUGCUUACUAUAGUAAAAGCUUCAGAGAGGUUGUUAAGAACACAUGAUGCAUGUGAGUGUCAUUCUGGAGUUUCAAACCACGAAUAUUCUCCUUUGAGGGUUGACUGCUUCUUCAGCCAGCAGCCAGUUUGGGUGAGUAUAGAGCUGGGUCUGAUCAGAGACCACAAGAUUAAAUACAGAAGUACUUUUCCAUUGUAGCAUUAGUUUUGAUCCACAAUGCUGGGAUGUUAAUAAUUUUAAGCUUUGGGAACAUUUAGGUCUAGAUCCUGCUUCAUGCCUCAGAACUAUGCUUAAUUUUGUGCAAUGGACAAGAGCCUAUUUUAAAACAUAUUCAGAGAAGAGUUUACCUAAAUAGAAAGAUUUUGUUAUUUAUUCCAGGCCUGUAAUUCUACAUAUAUGUUUUGGUCUGUGACUCCCAUUUGUACAGUCUUUCAGAAUAACAUAGAACGGACACAGCAGGCCUCCUGUGAGUAAAUAUAAUUUACCAAGAACAAAUGAUGAUGCUGUGUUCUGCCUUUGCCAGUCUCAGGAUAUGGAGAGUCAGAUCCAAUUUCCUAGUCUGGCAUCUCCAGCAUGGCAGUAAUUUAGAAACAUGAAGAAUGAAUGGUCAAAGCCUUGUCAUGCCAAAGAGAUUGUGCAAUCAUUAUUUGCUUAUAUUUUUUUUAGUGUUUUUCUUCUUUCUAGUAAUACUGGAGGUUAUCCAAUGCCAAAAACAUUUUUUACCUGCUUAAAGAUGUUUGGGCUGAAAACCUGACAUCUUUUUUUUAAGGAGAAGCUCCAUUCAGGGACAAAGAAAACAACCUGUUUGGUGUAACCGAUCAAAUGACAUUCCAGGAGCAAUAACAUCACUGGGGGGCCCCAGUGACUGAAACUUCAAAAUGCUUGGAUUCUCUCCGUUGAUUUAAUGACAGAAAAUGUGGAAUGCUUUUGCCAAAUUAUUUGGAAGCAACUUAACGAGACUGAGAUGAAGAAGAUGUCCCUGUGCUGCAGAGAGGAACGUCCCUGCAGGCUCCCCAGGGCAGUGCAAAAGUCACACCAGCUGUUUUUGGACAAAAGAGCUGCUGAGCAACUCUAGAAUGACCUGAAGUAGGUCAUUUAACAAGGAAAUAGGAGAGGCCUUAGGCUUAGCACAUUUCCAUUUUGGCCUUCUGAAGAAACCUCCCUUGGCUGCAGGGACAGCCAUGCUUCUCUGCUCCAGCCCACCUGGUCAGUCCCCAUGCCAUGUGAGCAAACUCUGCCCAAGCAUCUGUCCCCCUCAGCUCCCUCCAGCAGCACCACAGGGUCCCCUGGGGAAACCAGGACCUGUUGCCCCUCCAGAAGGAUCUUCCGGGCCCACCCUGUCUUGUCCUCUGGUCCAGGAGAAGCUUUAAACCCUGAGUUACAUGAAGUGUUUUGAGGCAUGCCAUCCUUAAUGCAUCUCAGGGAAAGGGCUUUGCUCUGUGUUUCAGCAGUGCCUAUAGGACCAAAAAAGAAAUACUAGUCCAAAACCUGCUCCCCCACAUCCUCUAUGUUCUCUGCAUAUCUUCUAUAUGUACUUGAUCUCCUGAAUAAGACUGAUUUCCUGAGAGGACUCCCUCACUCCCAGGAAGCCCAGUGUAAUAGUUGUGCUCAGGAGAAGAGGAAUUUACCUUGCCAAAGGCCUGUGGAGGAAGAGGAGGGUGGUGAGGAUGAGGACAACAGAACAUUUGACAGUAGGUGACACACUCAUGGCAGUGGGGCAGGGCAGUGUGCCAGGUAAAAACCAGUGUUUUUUAUCUAGAUAAAAACCAUGAAUUUUAGAGUGGUCUCCAAGUAUUCAUGCAUCUGGGCUAUAAGCAGGGAUGGUGUCUGUUUAAGGUGGCCAGCUGGCUAGAAUAAGCUCCAAUGACUUUUAUUUUCUUUUGGACUGGGCGUAGGAAGGAAAGGAAAACAAGGAGCUGCCCUGGAACAAAAUUAGAGUCAGAUGCAUACACUUGUGGGAUGCCAGCCAGUGAGGUACAAUGUUAUUGUCCAGAGCUUUUCCAGCUCUGCUGAAACUGGCUGGCAGGGAGAUUUUGUCAGCUGAUACUCAGCAGUAAUAAAGAAGAGCUCAGGAUGGAGGAGGGGAGAUGCUGUAUGUCUGAAGCCAGGAGAUAGGGGGAGUCCAGCUGUUGCAACCCCACCACACAGGCAGGUCUGUGCUGAGUUGGUGUGGGGAAGGUACCUUCUGACUCUGGCCAUAGCCCUUCCCUGGUGUGAAGAGCAUGCUGGCUCAGCUCUGGUGAGCAGGAAAUCUCUGCACAGCUCACAGAAUCGUAGAAUGUCCUGAGUUGGAAGAGACCCACAAGGAUCAUCGAAUUCAACUCCUGUCCCUGCAUAUGACAACCCCACAGCUCACACCAUGUGUCUGAGGGUGUUGCCAAAUCUCUUCUUCAGGCGUGGGGCUGUGACUGCCUCCCUGAGGAGCCUGUUCCAGUGCUCCAUCACCCUCUGUGUUGAAGAACCUUUUCCUAAUGUCCAACCUAAACCAUCCCUGGCACAUCUUCCUGCCAUUCACUCAGGUUCUAUCACUGGUUGCCAGAGAGAGCUGUACAUGGCAGGGAAGUGGGUCUCUCUGCUGUCAGGCAGACCACACAAAGAGGUUCAGUGGCUCAGCAUGUGUGUGAGCAGAGGCAGUGCCGGGAUGCAGACCCAGGCUGGCCAGGCUGGACUGCUUUGUGGAUUACAGAAUCACAGAAUGUUAGGUUUUGGAAGGGACUUCGAAAGAUCAUCUAGUCCAGUCCCCCCGCCGGAGCAGGAGCACCUAGAUCAGAUUACACAGGAAUGCAUCCAGAUGGGUUUUGGAUGUCUCCAGAGAAGGAGACUCCACAACGUCCCUGGACAGCCUGUUCCAGUGUUAUGUCACUCUCACUGUGAAGAAGUUUCUUCUCAUAUUUGAGUGGAACCUCCUAUGUGAAUGCAUCCUUCAGUGAACCUGGGCUACUGUCAUUCCUUAAGCCUCAGAAGGUGGAGGACUACGUACCCUAAAGGUUUUUUUUCCAAUAGUCAAGCUAGAAUGUUCUUUUUCUGACUCCAGGUAACUAGGUGCAGUCAGAAGUUGCAGAAGUUAUCCUUGAAAGUGCUGGGAGAGACAGCAGAGGAGAUCAUGUCAACCUUGUCAUCUCACCUUGCUCUCAUGCUUGCAUACCUGCUUGUAUCCUUGACUUUGACUGCCAUAUAUAUUCUGAUUCAGCAGCAGACCAAACACCUAAAACACAGUAACUAGGUAGUGUCAAAGACUAAUAAGGAUAAUGGUUCAAACAUUGUGGCAAAUGUUCAGACAGCCACAGGAGAUGGGACAUUGCAAGGAGCAGGAGAUGCAACAUUCAGGAUAGGGUCAAUUGCGAUUUGCAUAUCAACAUCAAGCCACAGACAAAGGUCAGAUGGAUGAUACAGGAGGUGGAGGACAUGUUGGAGAGCACGUAGGCUCCUUCUUCUGAUAGGCCCAGCAUGGCCCUAAGGAAAAUGCCAAGACCCUUCAGGACGGCCCAAGACCCUUCAGGACCCUCUUUUGCAAUCACCCCUCAGUAAAGCCCGCACAAAAGACCAAAGAUUACGCAAGCAGGCAAUCCAGAGGACUAUAAAGACCCACCUUGUGCAAGCGCUGGUGGCACCCACCCACCAUCCUGAGGACCACUCUGCCCAUCAAUCUCACCUCAGGGACCAAAUAAGACACUGGAGGACACCACACAUCACUGGAUCUGAGAUUAUGAACCCCAUCAUACAUAAAGCAGAGCCAUAAGAAUGGUGAAAUCUUUCUCUCUCUUCCUUCUUUCCUAUACUUCUAUUCUUUCGCUUUCCUUUUUAUGACUAAUAUAUUAAGAAAAGAUUUACAGCCCCACAUGUGCAGCAAAUUUUUUGUGUUUACCAAUUGAACUUGAAUCAUGUAAAUCCUUCUGCCACCAAAUCACUCGCUGAUUAGGUGAAGCUGCAAAAUAAAAGCCUUUUUGUUUAUGGACCUUAA